rnacentral:rRNA from 1 species
AUUGAACGCUGGCGGCAUGCCUUACACAUGCAAGUCGAACGGUAACAGGUCUUCGGAUGCUGACGAGUGGCGAACGGGUGAGUAAUACAUCGGAACGUGCCUAGUAGUGGGGGAUAACUACUCGAAAGAGUGGCUAAUACCGCAUGAGAUCUACGGAUGAAAGCAGGGGAUCGCAAGACCUUGUGCUACUAGAGCGGCCGAUGGCAGAUUAGGUAGUUGGUGGGAUAAAAGCUUACCAAGCCGACGAUCUGUAGCUGGUCUGAGAGGACGAUCAGCCACAAUGGGACUGAGACACGGCCCAGCCUCCUACGGGAGGCAGCAGUGGGGAAUUUUGGACAAUGGGCGAAAGCCUGAUCCAGCAAUGCCGCGUGCAGGAUGAAAGCCUUCGGGUUGUAAACUGCUUUUGUACGGAACGAAAAGCCCUGGGUUAAUACCCUGGGGUCAUGACGGUACCGUAAGAAUAAGCACCGGCUAACUACGUGCCAGCCGCCGCCGUAA